UCCUUUUCGCUAUUACGUUGUUUACGUUGUAUUAAAUGUUUACGCCUUGUUUGUGGUAUUGACCUUAGAUGUCUCUGUUACUUCGACAAUCACGGCAUUGUGGAUGAUCAUUUAAUUGGCGGUGAGGUAUUUCUUCCACCACAAGUAUUUCUGCACCUUCGGACCGAAGGCGGCCAGUAGAUAGUACGAGUACAUCACAAUGUGAACGAAGGUGUUUAGCAUGCCGAAGAAUGUUGAAUGACCACCUGUAUAAAACGUUACACAUUAAUAAUCUCAUUUGUAGACAAUUUAAAAACUUUAAUAGUAUGUACAUAAUAACAAUGAAACUUUAAUAAAAUCAUAUUUUUGACAUU